rnacentral:rRNA from 1 species
CACGUAGGGCGCAAGCGUUGUCCGGAAUUAUUGGGCGUAAAGAGCUCGUAGGCGGUCUGUUACGUCUGCUGUGAAAACCCGGGGCUUAACCCUGGGCUUGCAGUGGAUACGGGCGGACUAGAGGCAGGUAGGGGAGAAUGGAAUUCCCGGUGUAGCGGUGAAAUGCGCAGAUAUCGGGAGGAACACCGGUGGCGAAGGCGGUUCUCUGGGCCUGUGCUGACGCUGAGGAGCGAAAGCGUGGGGAGCGAACAGG